rnacentral:lncRNA from 1 species
AAGCAGAUGCUGUGGUCACGGGUUGAGCUCUUUCCUGCUGCCUUGAACCUGAGGCAGGCUAUUCUUCCUCUGCGACUCCACAGCUUCAGGCCAGCCCCUCCCCGCUCAAAUCCCUGAGGCAGAGCUCCUCUCAAGAAGACUUCCGAUAUUAGGUUGCCUGGGCCCAGCUUGAAUCAGGUGCCCCCAGCCGAGUCGCCCUCCAGGGGAUGGAAUACAGUGACUCCCAGCCCCGGAGACCUGAGUCCGCCUGAGCCACGGGGACUCGGAUAGAAGGCAAGUGAGGCCUGAUACCUCUGCUACAGUGCUCCCCGCCCGCCCCAUUCGAAUCCCAGGUUCCACACAGGAAGAGGCGGUUCCCAGGUGCCACACAGCAAGAGGCGGUUCCCAGGUGCCACACCAGCAAGAGGCGGUUCCCAGGUGCCACACAGCAAGAGGCGGUUCCCCAGGUGCCACACAGCAAGAGGCGGUUCCCAGGUGCCACACAGCAAGAGGCGG